UGGCAGCUGCUGACAGAGACGACACGUGUAAAGAGAGUGCCAGCGCGGGUUCUUUUCCCCUGCUUUUUCUUUUUUCAACUCUUUUUUAAUGAUCGCCUUCUUGCCGAGGGUACGAAUGGUUGGCUCUCGCUCUCCCUCUUGUUCUUCCUGGUGACCAAAAAUCAAUGUUCUCGAGGCGGAACGACGGAUUUUGAGCUGAGAUUGGAGGCGUAUCGGUUGCGGAAGGUGGUGGUACUAUCGGGCAGCAAGCGGGGCGACCUCUUUGUGACAGUGAUUCGGAGGGGAUGGGAAAGGGUCGGACGGAUUCGUCGUCGGAGGCAGCGAAGGAUCUUGGGGGAGAGCCACCACCCAGAUCUGGAGUACGACCAACCAUGACAGAAGAUUCCUUGGUGACUGAUUGGACAGAUGAGAAACACCGGUUAUAUAUCAAUUCCAUGGAAGCUUCUUUUGUCAGCCAACUGCAUAGCCAGAAGCAUUUUUCUUCAAGCUUGUUAAGUUGGCUCCAGAAAAAGAGAAAGCUGCAGAAUCAGCGCCCUGAACUUAUGUCGACUAGUACUUCAGGCUCCACUGGGCAGUUUGAGGUUUUGCAGGAGGGUUCGUGGAAGAGGCUUAAUUUCGAUGAUACUGAAUUUCAAGCAGAUGUCCUAGGCAGUCAACAAGACCUCUUGGUUAAUCCUUGGAUCAGGCAUUUCAAAUCUGGUUCGUCUAGCAAAGGACGGAGAGUAACAUCAGCGAAAUUGCAGGGGGAAUAUGAUGGUCAUAUAGGAGAACUCCGUGAAGUGGUUCCACAUUCGUCAAAGUCCCACUUCACACAAACAUCCAAUCAUCUUUCUCACAUGUCUGUGCAGAAAUAUUUUGGCAACAAUUCUGAAAGCGAGACAUCCUUUUCAGCUGAAAUGGGUAUGCUGCUUUCUGUUUACGAAUUUUGUUAUUCUUUACGAAGUUGAUAUGCCAAAUCGAGGUGAGUUUUAUUCCUAGCCAUGUUGUGGUGGUGAACCUCAAGUUUGAAAAUGUUUGUGAGCAACUUGACGUACAUGAUUCAGACAAAGGCAAACAGUGAUCCUUAAUAGGUUCUUACUAAUGCCAAACCAGCAACAUCUUAGCUCGGUUGUUGUGUUUUCAUCUGGUGGCAGUUUCUUGUUUUAUGCUCAUUCUCUUGUCGUACUUCUUUUGCUUUUCUGUUCUCUCCAGAUCGUGAUUUCCAGUGCGUGGAUCAUUCUUGCUUGUAUGCAUCCCUUGCCUUAUCAACUAGGUCCUUAUUAAGCUUCAAGUAAUCUUUUUACCAGUGACAAACCAGGUUACACAGACAUGGCGACAUAAUGUGUAAAAGUUCAAUUGAUCAACUGAACUUUUAAAGUAAGCUACCAUUGCAGUGCUGAAGCCAGAAACUUAAACCACAUGGGCACCAGUGAUCAGCUGAAGUGACAUCAUAGGGCCAGAUGGGGUGUUGGUAUAGCAUAAUAUUUUCUGGUUUUUGUUUUCCACAACUGCUUCAGGGAGUUGGAAUCAAUUCAUGGGGAAGCAAAAAUCAGUUGGGGUUUGGGUUUAUAAACACACCAGAACAAUCCGUUAUGGCACACUACGUGGCUUUGUUACCGAUAGCAUAUUUUUCACAUGCUAUGUCUUAUGGCAGCUUUACCAAGUAGUUCUACUGCAUUAUUAAGCUAUUAAGAAAUGUGAAUAUGCUAUUGCAUACUAGAGCUUGUCACUAUAAGAGUUAGGCAUAUUGAAGGACAUUAUGGGCGCCCGCGCCCACUGAUUUACAAUCCUGCUAUGGGAAUUUUUGUUGCUCCUGGAAAAUGUUCAAGCAUGUGGAAAAGCUGCACAAAGGCCGUCAAUUAGCUAUCCUCUAUCGCUAUUCUCUAACUUUUUGUGCCUUGCCGUAGAUCAUUCAUCUCCAUGCUUUUAGUGUGCCUUCAUGAGAAGAUAUGAUAUAGCAUCUUUUUCCUGUUUGUCAGAUGGCCAUGUAUAACCAUCUUUAUGUUCAGUAAUUCUGGAUUUUCUUGUUUGCAAGACUGUUGUGCUUUAUGGAAUCUAAAACAUGCAUCUGCUAUUAUGCAUCUUCGUGUUUAUAGACAAACAAUUUAAUUUUAAACAGCAGCUCAGUUGACAGUAUUUUUGUUUUAUUUCUAUAUGAAAGCUUCCAAUCACCGAUUUCUGUUAUUGAUGGCUCAAUUUCAGUGAACUAACAUACCCAUACAACGUCUGGAAAAUUUGCAUGUGAGACAUAAAAUGAGAGGCUUCGGAUCAAAAUUUUUCAGAAGAAGAAGGUGAAGAAAAUAAUUUUGUCAAGGGGAUUCAGAUGGAAGAGCCUGAGAGCAGGAAUAAUGAAGCUUCAGCCUUUGACCAAGUAAUGG